AUGACUUUGAUCUGCGUCCUCAUCUGGACUCUCCUCUGCUGCUGCUUCACAGAGUCCAGAGGCCAGGUCACAGUGACUCAGCCUGGAUCAGUGAGGUCUGCUCUGGGAGGAACCGUCACCAUCAGAUGUAGAACCAGUCACAGAGUAGAUGAUGGAGAAGACUUAGCCUGGUACCAACAGAGAGAUGGAGGAGUACCUAAACUUCUAUUUUACUAUGUUGGAAACCGAGUAUCGGGGACGCCAAAUCGUUUUACAGAUGGUGGAAGAAACACUGACUUCACUCUGACCAUCAGUGGAGUCCAGACUGAAGAUGCAGCAGUUUAUUACUGUAUGGGUGAAUUCAAUGUCAACAGUCAGUGGGUGUACACACAGUGA